CUGAAAGAGGUGAGGACAGAGACUUGAAGAGAUAUUUGUAUACUUGUAUUUAGAAUAGCAUUGUUCACAAAAGCCAAAAGAUGGAAAUAACUCAAGUGUUCUUCAACAGAUGAAUGAAUAAACAAAAUGUGGUGUAUGAAUAUAUAGCCAAAUAGUACUCAGCCUUGAAAAAGAGUGAAAUUUUGAUACAUGUUACAACACAAAUGGACCUAGAAAUCACUGUGAUAAGUGAAAUAAGCCAGAUACAGAAAGACCAGUACUACAUGAUUUCCCUUAUAUGAGGUAGCUGGAAUAAGCAGAUUCGUAGAGCUAGAAAGUAGAAUAGAGGUUACUAGGAAGUGUGGCAGGGGUGAAGGGAAAGGGGGAAUUGAUUAAUGUGUACUGAGUUUUUGUGGUAGAUGAUGGAAAAGUCCUG
rnacentral:lncRNA from 1 species